rnacentral:lncRNA from 1 species
AUCUCAGUACAGGAAAGAUGGAGCCAGGAAGAUCAUGAUUGCAAGGCUAACCUGAGCUACAGAGUGAGACCACCAGAAAGAGGAAGAAAUGUCCUGUUGGUAGGACUUGAGCAGCCAUGGUUUCCCUCCUGUUCCGGGUUUGUGCUUGGAGAGGUCAAAGAGCUUGCCUGAGGUCACACAGAAUUCUAUACCUGGCAAAAUCCAGCUGCGUUCAUGCAUAUGCAAGUGUGUACACGUGCAGGUUAGAAGCAGACAUCAUCAGGCGUCUUCCUCAAUGACUCUCUGCCUCAUUUAGGGGUUUCUCGGUAUAGCCCUGGCUGUCCUGGAACUCACUCUGUAGACCAGGCUGGCCUCAAACUCAGAAAUCUGCCUGCCUCUGCCUCUGCCUCUGCCUCCCAAGUGCUGGGAUUAAAGGCGUGCGCCACCACACCCAGCUAAUGGCAUGUUUCUUCAUUAACCAAGACAUCACUGACAUGUUCUUCCCUCUACCGUCCCAGAGGGAGCCUGGUAAUUCCCACAGACUUCAGGCCCCGCCCCAGAACAAUGAGGUCUCUGGGCCCCCCAGCAGAUAGGAAACACAUGGCCACACAGUCUGUUAGAUUGUCAGGAUCAAAGCAGAGCAUCUGGUUCUGACCACCUACCCCCGGAGGGGCCCCAGCCGGAGCCCCAGCUCCUGUACCACAGUGGAAGGUAAUUUUUUCCAGCCGUUUCGUGGUUCUCCAUCAGGAAUGGGGGGGCUGUGAUUGCCCCCCACAGAACAUCUGUCAAUGUCAGGAGAUAUUUUCGGGUUUUCCAGCUGAAAGGAAGGAGGAACUGCUGACAUCUGUGAGGUGGGGGCCCUCCGGGGCUACGCUGAGCCAGCUGCGGUUGCUCAUGUCAAACAGCAGCUCUGCCCGAACUGAUCUGGGGAAACUGAGGGGUUCCCUCCUGGGCUUCUUAGCUUCAUUAAUAAACGGAUUUAAGAAUGAAC